GGAGACAUACAUUGUGAAGGCUGAUGUUGCGAAUAUUCCGUAUUAUAUCCACUUUAAUCGAAGAAAUAUCGCAAAACUCUCAUCUUCCCCUCCCCAGUUACCAUAUAUCCUUUUAUUUCUAAUAAGUUACGUUUAAAUGUUUUCAAUUCUAGUAUUUAUUUAUUCAUUUUUAUGUUUUUUAUCAUCGACUUCAACGGUGCAUUAAUUAAUUAAAGGUUAAACGGUGUUUUAUUACCUUACUAUCGCGCGCAUGCCCUGCAAUGUUUGGAUAGUGGAUGCGAAAUGACGUCAGUGUUUUCGAUGGGUGUCUAAUGUAAAGCAUCCUAAACUUUGUGACCGUAAAAGCGCAUUCUUAACUCUAGUAGACUCUCUCUACUUCAGAAUAUUAAAAAGUGAAAGAUGUAUUAUUCUAACAGUAUUCAAUUCGUGAUUGUUAAGAUUCAGCACAAAAUGGAUUUAGAAGAAGUUUGGAACGUUCGCAUUCGGAAAAUUAACGUUUGGUGUUCGACUACGAAAAGUAAUUUUGUAUGUUUAUUGACACACCAUGUCGAUGUUUAAUGUAACUUCGUUUUGAACACGACUAGACACACAGUACCUGGCACAGCUAUAUUAUAUAUAUAUAUAUACAUAUAAAAUGAUCAAUAUAUUUUCUUAUACAAGGAUAUUUUGCUAGAAAAGAGUGGAGAUAUUUUUGGUAUGUUUUAUUGCGACAACAACAUAAGAAUGCUUGCAUGGAAAUCUUUUCAGAAAACGAUCAGACAAUCUCCUUUACGAUUCAUCCUGAUCUUGGCCAUUUUUGUAGUUUUUACUGUGUUGUUGUGGCCCGCUUAUAUUCACAUAGUGGAGUGGCAAUUUUUUCGCACACAUUACGUUUCCCUUCAGAACAUGGUGUCGUCUACUUCGUGCCAGAUUCCCAUGCCGAAUCCGUUCGACUCUUCGAUAAUGCAGUACGUCAUCAAAAAGGGCCCUUUAAAGUGCAAAUUUAUCCAACCUGAAUUAACUUAUUUGGAUUACGACGGCAUUCUUCAUUUGAACCGAUCUGCU
rnacentral:lncRNA from 1 species